GAGAAAACCAAAAGGACAAAAUAAAAAAUCGAAAUACAAAUUUCAUUCCUUUCUCUUUGCAGUUUUUUCAUUUGUUUGUAUUUGCUGUGCGUUUGUAUGUUUUUGCAGGUACGGGGCAUGUGUACGAGGGCUGGGCACUGGCGCUGGAGGGUACGGAGACUGGGGCAAUGUAGCUGCUGAGGCGCUGGCACCGUGCGGGGUCUAGAGGCUGCAGAGGGUUGCGGCGUAAACGAGAGAGGGAUGACCUAGGGUUGCUGAAACCUUUUGGGCCAUUUGGGCUCAUUUUCAGUAUUGGGCCAUCAGAUUUGGGCUAGAGGGACUGUUUUGGGUAUUUGGGUUUGCAAUAGGACAUUAUUGGCCAUGUAAUAUUUGUUGGGUUU
rnacentral:lncRNA from 1 species